AGGGCCUCUCUUUUUCUUUUUCUUUACUGUUUGUUUAUUUUUGAGAGAGAGAGAGAGAGAGCGAGAGAGCGAGAGAGCAGAGAGAGAGAGAGCGAGAGCGAGCACGAGCAGGGGAGGGGCAGAGACAGAGGAAGACACAGAAUCCGAAGCAGGCUCCAGGUUCUGAGCAGUCAGCACGAAGCCCGACUCGGGGCUCGAACUUGUGAACCGUGAGACCGUGCCCUGACCGGAAGCUGAAUGCUUAACCGGAAGCUGAAUGCUUAACCGGAAGCUGAAUGCUUAACCGGAAGCUGAAUGCUUAACCGGCUGAGCCCCCCGGGCACCCCCACCAGGCUUCCCUUCUUACGUACAGAUGCUUCGCAGGCUGGGUCAUGUGAGCCCCAGGCGCCCCACCCUCUUCCUGAAAGGACCUUUUCCUGCCAGCUCCUUCCAGGGUCGUGCCUGACGCAGCAGCUUCGGGAGGCCCUGCUGGCCGUGCCACCCAGGGUCUCACCCCCAAGCAGGCACCGCACCAGCGGCCCGGCCCCAGAGCCUCCAGCAGGAGCUGAGUACCAGUCAUCGAAAUGCCACAGAAGGAGGAGUCACGUCCCGGAGCCACCAGGAGCCCGUGUCUCAGGCUCACACACGGAGACCAUUAUCCCUCACGCGGGGGGCGAUUCUGUGCAGACUCAGUGGCCCAGGAAGGCCGCGGGGUACCCAACAGUAGACAGCUGCCGGUGUUGGAACAAGGGCCUAACUCGGGCUCGCAUUCCUGCAGUGGCCCGCAGGCCGAGGGCGGCCCCUGACGGGCCUUCAGGUGGUUGCCGGCUGACAGAGAAGCUAUGAGACUGGACAGAGAGGACGACAGCACACCCCAAAACCCUGCUGUGGGGUUCCCGCCGCCCAUCCCAUGCCCCUAUUUGUGCCAAUGGUUUCGCCCCUCCCCAUCCAUCUUUGAAGCAAAACAAAAGUGGACAGGAUUGCUUCUUGUCUCCUGUUGAGGUGGGCUCGAGGCUUUGACCCUCAAGAGGGAUGGUGCAGGGAGGGGGAGGCCGCCAGGACCCCCUAUAUGCCUCUCACUGGGCCCUUUCCUUUUUAAACCAUUGUUUUAUUGGGGCGAAAAAUAUAUAACAUAUAACCAGCCAUCGUGACCGUUUUUAAGUGUAGAACUCAGUGCCUUUGCCUGCAUUCACAGCGUUUGCAACUGUCAGCACUAUCGAUUUCCAAAAUUUUCAUCAUCCCGAACAGAAACCCGGUCUCCAUUAGGCAAUAACUCUCCAUCCCCCUCCCCCCAGCCCCUGGUAACCUCCACACUACUUUCGGACUGAAUUCGCCUGUCCUGCACAUUUCGUAACAGCGGGCUGGACGUUUGUCCUUUUCUGUCUGGAAUCUUCCGCUAUACGUGAUGCCAUCAAGUUCACCCGUGCUAUUCCUUCUUUUUUUUUUUUUAGUUUAAUUUAUUCAUUUUUGAUAUAUAUAUACACACACAUGAGAGAGAGAGAAAGUGCGAGCCCGAGCAGGGGAGGGGCAGAGAGAUAGGAAGACAGAAUCCCAAGCAGGCUGUGAGCGGUUAGCACCGAGCCCGAUGUGGGGCUCGAGCCCACAAACCGAGAGAUCAUGACCUGAACCGAAACCAAGAGUCGGACACUUAAUCAAUUGAGCCACCCAGGCGCCCCACGUCAUUCCAUCUUAAGGCUGAGCACAGGUCCCUUAAUUACAUGGAUAGGGCACACCAUUCAAGGCCUUGCAUUUGGUUCUUUGGGGUGCAGGCCCAGAAGUAGUGUGGCUAGAUCUACGGACCCCCCCUCCUCUUUCAAGAGGUUCUGUCUCCCUUCCCUCUCGUGGA
rnacentral:lncRNA from 1 species